AAAUAACAAUACGGGGCUCAACGCCUUGUAAUUGGAAUGAUGGGAACCUAAACCCCUUCCAGAGUAUCAAUUGGAGGGCAAGUCUGGUGCCAGCAGCCGCGGUAAUUCCAGCUCCAAUAGCGUAUAUUAAAAUUGUUGCAGUUAAAAAGCUCGUAGUUGAAUUUCUGCCGCAUCGCGGCGGCCCUCCCGGGCCCAGCGUUGCGGCUUAUUUCGGACUCGCUUGCGUCUCCGAAUGUUUACUUUGAGAAAAUUAGAGUGCUCAAAGCAGGCCCUUGCCUUGAAUACUUUAGCAUGGAAUAAUAAAGUAGGACUUUGGUUCUAUUUUGUUGGUUUAGCGCCAAAGUAAUGGUUAAUAGGAACAGUUGGGGGCAUUCGUAUUUA
rnacentral:rRNA from 1 species